AGGUGGUGGUUUGGAGAAGGGAGGGUCCUGUCCAAUCCCAAAAGCUCAUCUGAUUUCGUGAUCCUUGUCCAUGACUUUCACCAGUGUUACCUUCUGAAGAUGGCACCUCCCCGAUGGGGAACCGUCCCAUCUGAUCCAUCUGUCCCUUUUCUUUCUCAAGUGAUGACCCUAAACUUGGCACAGAAGGUGGCUGUUCCAGGAAGAAGCAGUGGCUCAGUGGCAGCCUCUUCUGCAGGAGAACAGGCGGCUCCAGGCACUGGCACAGCAGAAGUGCUUGGCAAGUCAGACACAAACGCCUGGAAUCCACGGAACAAUGCAAGAAUUGUCUGCCCUCAGGACGUGCGCAGGUCCUGCAUGAUAGGCACGGUGGUGACACUGUUCACUGUGCCACUUUCCAUGGUGCUGUGCAAUGUUGGGUUUCGGUGGUGGAAGGAAGAGAAACAGAGCGCCUCUGGACUGCAGCUGAAGGACAGUGGCUGGAUCUCACUCCCAGAUAACUUGAGUAGCUCCUCCAGCAGUGAUAAGAACCUGGGCAGCCCCAUCAAAAGCCCUCAGAGGACAAUCCCAGAGCAGCUGGCCUCGAGGAGGAAAUCAAUCAAUCAAUCCCUGUGGAAAUUGCAGUGGAAAUCCCAGUGCCACCUCCACUCCCUACAGGAAUCCCUGAGCUGCCUCUGCUACCCAUGGGGAUCUUCAAGAUGCCUCCACACUCUCCCAGUCCAUCCCCACCUGUGGAGCAACCCAGAACCAGUUUAGCACCUUCCAUACCCACCUAGGACCAGCACAUCCCACUCCUGCAUGCCCCAAAUGCUCAGACCAGGCCUCCAAAAGACAAUGAAAGAGCCUCAAUCCCACACCACCUAUUCCAGGGCAGGGCUUGGUCCAGAUCUUCUGAUGCAAUAACGUGAUGGAGCUGUCAGCCCAGUGUCCAGGUGGUAGCACCAGCAAAGCCCACCCAGCACCAGC